GACGAACGCUGGCGGCGUGCCUAAUACAUGCAAGUCGAACGCUUCUUCCCUCCCGAGUGCUUGCACUCAAUUGGAAAGAGGAGUGGCGGACGGGUGAGUAACACGUGGGUAACCUACCCAUCAGAGGGGGAUAACACUUGGAAACAGGUGCUGAUACCGCAUAACAGUUUAUGCCGCAUGGCAUAAGAGUGAAAGGCGCUUUCGGGUGUCGCUGAUGGAUGGACCCGCGGUGCAUUAGCUAGUUGGUGAGGUAACGGCUCACCAAGGCCACGAUGCAUAGCCGACCUGAGAGGGUGAUCGGCCACACUGGGACUGAGACACGGCCCAGACUCCUACGGGAGGCAGCAGUAGGGAAUCUUCGGCAAUGGACGAAAGUCUGACCGAGCAACGCCGCGUGAGUGAAGAAGGUUUUCGGAUCGUAAAACUCUGUUGUUAGAGAAGAACAAGGACGUUAGUAACUGAACGUCCCCUGACGGUAUCUAACCAGAAAGCCACGGCUAACUACGUG
rnacentral:rRNA from 1 species